GUUGCAUCUUAAUGUGGAAUAAAUAUGGCAUACACUUGUUAGGUAUCAAUUAGAAUUAAAGUCCUAGAUUUGCUUGAUAAUUUUUUGACUCUGUUCAAAGGGUAAGGUGACCAAUGAAAUACUAACGAAAGAGGAACUCCAGUAGAAGAUUAUUUGCUAACUAAACAUCUGAGUUCAGCUUAAAAAGUGAUAUUUCAAACUUUUCUUCUCAAUGUUCUCAUUCUGGAUGGUCCAGACACCACCGGCUUUGCUCCAUCCCUUUGGGAAGACAGCACACCCAGAGCUCAAGUCUGCUGCUCAUUCUGGAAGGGGAGAUGUCCUGGGCCCAGGGUUUGGAAAUGUCUUCUUGGACAAGCUUAAGCCGAACUUGUCUGAGGCAACAAAGAGAGCAAAGAGAAAGAUAAAGAUGGAGUCCUCAAAGAAUAAACAUGAUUAAGAGCAGAGCCCACAGCUCCAGAUGUGAAAACCAUGACUCGAUUGUCAGUGAGGAGAGACUGGUCCCUGGGGUUUGCUGACCUCCCAGGGAGCAAUGCAUUUCAGAGAGCUGUCAGAGCAGUUUUCUUCUUUAAGCCCUGGUUUGUUAAUUAUUAUUUUUUAUUAUUUAAAAAAUGUUUUCUAUCGAUACAUAAUAUUUGUAUAUAUUUGUGGAGCAGAUUUUAGAUUGCAGAAUUCAAUGGUCUAAGGGAGAAGAGAUGAACAAGCUUGAUGUAACAAGGAAGGUUAAGAGUGAUAUUUAAAUGGAAAGGGAAGUAUAUAUUUUAUUGUUUCCUGUUGCUGUAAUAAAUUAUCAAAAAUUGUCAUAAACUUAUAAACUGGCACAUUUAUAAACUCACAAACUUAUAAACUUAUAAACUGCCUUAAAAUAACAUGAAUUUAUUAUUUUACAGUUCUGGAGGUCAGAAGUCCAAGAUGGGUCUCCCUGGGCUAAAAUCAAGGUGUUGGGAGGCUGUGUUCCUUUCUGGAGGCUCUAACGGGGAAUCUGUUCUCUUGCCUUUUCCAACUUCUCAAAGCUGCAUGUGUUUCUUGGCUCGUGACUCCACACCACCCUGAUUUCUGCUUCCAUUGUUGCAUCUCCUUCUCCGACUCUGACCCUUCUGCCACCCUUUUAUGAGGAUCCCUGCUGUUAACAAUAUGUUCAUCAAAUAAUACAGAGUAAUUUCUCCUGCUUAAGAUCCUCAACAUUAUCACAUUUGCAAAGUCCCUUUUGCCAUCUAAGCUGACAUAUCCACAGGUUCCCGGUAUUGAUGUGUGGACACCUUUGGGGCAUGGGCGUUAUUCUGCCUACCAGUUUCCUAUUGCUUCUGUAACAAAUUACCAUAAAUGAAGUGGUUCAAAACAAUGCAGAAGUAUGAUAUUAUGGUCCUAGACAUUAGAAAUGCAAAAUGGGCUUAAGUGGGCUAAACUCAGGGUGUUGUUAGGAAUGCAUUCCUUUCUGGAGGCUAUAGGGCAGAAUCUAUUUCCUUGCCUUUUCCAGUUUCUAGAGGCUACCUGUAUUCAUUGCUUCGUGGUUUCCUUCCAUUUUUAGAGCCAGUAAAGGUCAGUCCAGUCUUUUUCACAUCGCACCACUCUGACACUGACAGUUCUGUAUCCCUCUUCCACUUACGAGGACCCUUGUCAUUCCAUUAGGCCCACCCAGGCAAUCCAGGGUAAUCUUCUGUCUUAAGGUCAACUGAUUAGCAACCUCAAUUCCAUCUGUAACGUUAAUUCUCCUUUGCCUUGAAACCUAACGUUUUUACAAGUUCUGGGGAUUAGGACAUGGAUAUAUUUGGGUGAGGGUCAUUAAUUUCCCUGCCACAAAUAUUAUCCUAUCGGAACUCCUAGUUCAAGAUACCAUUAACUCCAUUUUAUGGGUAAAGAAGCCCACUCAGAAGGGAGGUGCCUUACCCAAGGACACAGUUAUUUUCGGAAGCAGACUUAGAAUAGAACCCAAUUCUCUAUGACCCCAAAGCUUGGCUCUUUCCACUGAAAAUAUUAGAUACUGAAUGUGACUGAAAAUAUGCAGUGUCUAUCAUAGGCUGUAAAGACUGAUUAAAAUGAGAAGGGUCCUAAAGAAGAAUAUGGGAAUGUUCCCAAAAGAUCAGGGAAAGUCUCUUUUGUUGAGAAGCUUCUGAGAAACUAUCAAGCAUGCCAAAGAAGAGAGGGAGCAAGAAAUAAUACAGAAAAAAGAAAAAUAAAAAAAGAUUUCCAUAAAGCUUAGGACCAGGCAAAAGAUUUGGUGCUUCAAAUGCUUCUGCAAAUUUUUUUUGAUGAUGUCAUCAUACUAAUGGGAACUGGGAGAAAAGUUCUUUGAUCAGUGUUUGCAAAUUUCCUAAACCUUGGGUUAGUAUCUGACUGCUGUGUUUUAUUUGAUGUUAAUGAUUGAUAUAGUUUGGCUCUGUGUCCUCACCCAAAUUUCAUGUCAAAUUGUAAUUCCCAAUGUUGUGAGACGGACCUGGUGGGAGAUGAUUGCAUUAUGGGGGUGGAUUUUCCCCUUGCUAUUCUCAUGAUAGUGAGUUCUCAUGAGAUCUAGUUGUUUGAAAGUGUGUAGCACUUCCCCCUUCGCUCUCUCUCUCUCUCCUGCUCCACCAUGGUAAGACAUGCUUGCUUCCCUGUCACCUUCCUCUAUGAUGGUAAGUUUUUGGAAGCAUCCCAGCUAUGCUCCCUGUAC
rnacentral:lncRNA from 1 species